rnacentral:rRNA from 1 species
GCGAACGGGGAGCAGCCCAGAGCCUGAAUCAGUGUGUGUGUUAGUGGAAGCGUCUGGAAAGGCGCGCGAUACAGGGUGACAGCCCCGUACACAAAAAUGCACAUAUUGUGAGCUCGAUGAGUAGGGCGGGACACGUGGUAUCCUGUCUGAAUAUGGGGGGCCCAUCCUCCAAGGCUAAAUACUCCUGACUGACCGAUAGUGAACCAGUACCGUGAGGGAAAGGCGAAAAGAACCCCGGCGAGGGGAGUGAAAAAGAACCUGAAACCGUGUACGUACAAGCAGUGGGAGCACGCUUAGGCGUGUGACUGCGUACCUUUUGUAUAAUGGGUCAGCGACUUAUAUUCUGUAGCAAGGUUAACCGAAUAGGGGAGCCGAAGGGAAACCGAGUCUUAACUGGGCGUUAAGUUGCAGGGUAUAGACCCGAAACCCGGUGAUCUAGCCAUGGGCAGGUUGAAGGUUGGGUAACACUAACUGGAGGACCGAACCGACUAAUGUUGAAAAAUUAGCGGAUGACUUGUGGCUGGGGGUGAAAGGCCAAUCAAACCGGGAGAUAGCUGGUUCUCCCCGAAAGCUAUUUAGGUAGCGCCUCGUGAAUUCAUCUCCGGGGGUAGAGCACUGUUUCGGCAAGGGGGUCAUCCCGACUUACCAACCCGAUGCAAACUGCGAAUACCGGAGAAUGUUAUCACGGGAGACACACGGCGGGUGCUAACGUCCGUCGUGAAGAGGGAAACAACCCAGACCGCCAGCUAAGGUCCCAAAGUCAUGGUUAAGUGGGAAACGAUGUGGGAAGGCCCAGACAGCCAGGAUGUUGGCUUAGAAGCAGCCAUCAUUUAAAGAAAGCGUAAUAGCUCACUGGUCGAGUCGGCCUGCGCGGAAGAUGUAACGGGGCUAAACCAUGCACCGAAGCUGCGGCAGCGACGCUUAUGCGUUGUUGGGUAGGGGAGCGUUCUGUAAGCCUGCGAAGGUGUGCUGUGAGGCAUGCUGGAGGUAUCAGAAGUGCGAAUGCUGACAUAAGUAACGAUAAAGCGGGUGAAAAGCCCGCUCGCCGGAAGACCAAGGGUUCCUGUCCAACGUUAAUCGGGGCAGGGUGAGUCGACCCCUAAGGCGAGGCCGAAAGGCGUAGUCGAUGGGAAACAGGUUAAUAUUCCUGUACUUGGUGUUACUGCGAAGGGGGGACGGAGAAGGCUAUGUUGGCCGGGCGACGGUUGUCCCGGUUUAAGCGUGUAGGCUGGUUUUCCAGGCAAAUCCGGAAAAUCAAGGCUGAGGCGUGAUGACGAGGCACUACGGUGCUGAAGCAACAAAUGCCCUGCUUCCAGGAAAAGCCUCUAAGCAUCAGGUAACAUCAAAUCGUACCCCAAACCGACACAGGUGGUCAGGUAGAGAAUACCAAGGCGCUUGAGAGAACUCGGGUGAAGGAACUAGGCAAAAUGGUGCCGUAACUUCGGGAGAAGGCACGCUGAUAUGUAGGUGAAGUCCCUUGCGGAUGGAGCUGAAAUCAGUCGAAGAUACCAGCUGGCUGCAACUGUUUAUUAAAAACACAGCACUGUGCAAACACGAAAGUGGACGUAUACGGUGUGACGCCUGCCCGGUGCCGGAAGGUUAAUUGAUGGGGUCAGCGCAAGCGAAGCUCUUGAUCGAAGCCCCGGUAAACGGCGGCCGUAACUAUAACGGUCCUAAGGUAGCGAAAUUCCUUGUCGGGUAAGUUCCGACCUGCACGAAUGGCGUAAUGAUGGCCAGGCUGUCUCCACCCGAGACUCAGUGAAAUUGAACUCGCUGUGAAGAUGCAGUGUACCCGCGGCAAGACGGAAAGACCCCGUGAACCUUUACUAUAGCUUGACACUGAACAUUGAGCCUUGAUGUGUAGGAUAGGUGGGAGGCUUUGAAGUGUGGACGCCAGUCUGCAUGGAGCCGGCCUUGAAAUACCACCCUUUAAUGUUUGAUGUUCUAACGUGGACCCGUGAUCCGGGUUGCGGACAGUGUCUGGUGGGUAGUUUGACUGGGGCGGUCUCCUCCUAAAGAGUAACGGAGGAGCACGAAGGUUGGCUAAUCCUGGUCGGACAUCAGGAGGUUAGUGCAAUGGCAUAAGCCAGCUUGACUGCGAGCGUGACGGCGCGAGCAGGUGCGAAAGCAGGUCAUAGUGAUCCGGUGGUUCUGAAUGGAAGGGCCAUCGCUCAACGGAUAAAAGGUACUCCGGGGAUAACAGGCUGAUACCGCCCAAGAGUUCAUAUCGACGGCGGUGUUUGGCACCUCGAUGUCGGCUCAUCACAUCCUGGGGCUGAAGUAGGUCCCAAGGGUAUGGCUGUUCGCCAUUUAAAGUGGUACGCGAGCUGGGUUUAGAACGUCGUGAGACAGUUCGGUCCCUAUCUGCCGUGGGCGCUGGAGAACUGAGGGGGGCUGCUCCUAGUACGAGAGGACCGGAGUGGACGCAUCACUGGUGUUCGGGUUGUCAUGCCAAUGGCACUGCCCGGUAGCUAAAUGCGGAAGAGAUAAGUGCUGAAAGCAUCUAAGCACGAAACUUGCCCCGAGAUGAGUUCUCCCUGACCCUUUAAGGGUCCUGAAGGAACGUUGAAGACGACGACGUUGAUAGGCCGGGUGUGUAAGCGCAGCGAUGCGUUGAGCUAACCGGUACUAAUGAACCGUGAGG